rnacentral:rRNA from 1 species
GGUUUCUAGGGCCGAAGUAAUGAUUAAGAGGGACAAUUGGGGGCAUCCGUAUUUCGUUGUCAGAGGUGAAAUUCUUGGAUUUACGAAAGACGAACAACUGCGAAAGCACUUGCCAAGAGUGUUUUCAUUAAUCAAGAACGAAAGUUAGAGGAUCGAAGACGAUCAGAUACCGUCCUAGUUCUAACCAUAAACGAUGUCGACUAGGGAUCAGCGGGCGUUAUCGUACGACCCCGUUGGCACCUUACGGGAAACCAAAGUUUUUGGAUUCCGGGGGAAGUAUGGUUGCAAAGCUGAAACUUAAAGGAAUUGACGGAAGGGCACCACCAAGAGUGGAGCCUGUGGCUCAAUUUGACUCAAC